GAGGAGGGACCUGGUGGGAGAUGAUUGGAUCAUAGGAGUGGAUUUCCCCGUUCUCUUCUCAUGAUAGUGAGUGAGUUCUCAGGAGAUCUGGUUGUUUAAACGUGUGUAGCACUUCCCCCUUAGCUCUCAGUGUCCUGCUCUGACAUGUGAAGACCUACCUGCUUCCCCUUUGCCUUCUGCCAUGACUGUAAGUUUCCUGAGCCCUCCCAGCCAUGCUUCCUGUACCGCCGUGGGAAAUGCAUGCUGUAAAUACCUGACUGAUCUUACAGUGAGGAGAAUAUAGGAUGGAAUGGAUAUAAGAGCAAUCCCAUUAAAGACUACCUGUGGCUAUUAGUCACCUUCCAAACAAAAGAUGCUGAGUUCUCUAAAUUGCUUUAUGUGAGAUGUAACACAAAACCACAUGCUUCUGAAUUGGGCCCGCCCUGGAGCUUAAUAAGCAAGCACUGAGAGCUUAUUUAUGCAUUAGAACAUGGAAAAACUCCAUUUAAAACCCCUUCUCAAGAUUCAGCUGGUUGUCAGAAUGACACAUCUGCUCAGCUAUCCACUCAUGCCCACCUGCUUAUCCAGCUUCCCAUACUCAUGCACCAAGGCAUCAGGGUAGAUAAAGAGGAAUCUAGCAGCCCAAAGGGACAUUGCAAAUAGUAAAGAUGUGGGCUACGGAACAGCAGGCUUAAAACUCCCUAUCAAAGUGGGAAAUAAAAGGUCAUUCUCAAAGUGGUGUUUUAGGCUUAAAAGAGCCCUCUCCU
rnacentral:lncRNA from 1 species